GUAGACACACCCCUGGUGCUCUGAGAGUGUUUAUAGUGCUGUGAGUUUAACACUUCAUGACUGAGAGCAGAACAGAACACAAUCUUCAUCAUCACACAAGACACAACAACAACAAUGAACAACAUCAUCAUCCUCAUCUGGACUCUCACACUGUUUGCUCAAGAGUGUAGAGGACAGUACACUGUAACUCAGAGUCCAUCAUUAAUAACAGCAGCUCAAGGACAAGAAGUCAGAAUAAACUGUAAAACCAGCAGUAGAGUGUAUGGUGGUGAUGAGUUACACUGGUACUUACAGAAACCUGGAGAAACUCCUAAACUCCUCAUAUAUGUGACAUCAAGACGUUACACUGGAACUCCAUCUAGAUUCAGUGGCAGUGGAUCUAACAGUGAUUUCACUCUCACCAUCAGUGGAGUCCAGACUGAAGAUACAGGAGAUUAUUACUGUCUGAGUUACCACAAUGAUCCAGCGUUCACACAGUGAUAAAGAGUCGUACAAAAACCUCCGUCAGUCAGAGUCACAGUGACUGCACUGAUACAGCUGAGAGACACUGCAGCUGCUGAUGAGAGGAUCACAAACAACACAAUGACUUCAAGUAACAAAUUUUCCAGAGAUUAUGACAUACAGACAUUAAAAUGAACAGUAUUUAUUUAUUUACCUACAUUAAGAUUUGAAUAUCAGAUUCAUCUGCUCUAGUCUGAUCUGCAUGAGGACUAAAUGUCUGGAACAAUGUGCUCUGGACAGAAAAGUCAAAGGUUGAGCAGUUUUCUGAAACUUAAAUGGAAAUUUCAACAGGAUAAUGACAUUUAUCAUUCAAGAGGAAUGACUGAGAAGAAUGAAAUGAGGGUUUUAAUGACCGUCAGAGUCCAGAUCUCAGUUCAGUUGAAAUGUUGUUGAGGGACUUGAAGAGUUAAAACCAAAAUGUCCACCCCAGAAUCAACCCAAAACAUUUAAAGAAUUUAAAAAAUAGAAUGAAAACUAAACCUUUGUGUGUGUGUGUGUGCGUGUGUGUGUUUAAUU